GCCGGAGUAGCUCAGACGGCAGAGCAGCUCACUCGUAAUGAGCAGGCCAAGGGUUCGAGUCCCUUCUCCGGCUCCA
rnacentral:tRNA from 1 species